GGACUACCGGGGUAUCUAAUCCCUUUUGCUACCCUGGCUCUCGUUCCUCAGCGUCAGUUAUGAUCCAGUAACUCGCUUUCGCCACCGGUGUUCCUCCAGAUAUCUACGCAUUUCACCGCUACACCUGGAAUUCCAGUUACCUCUAUCACACUCUAGCAAUCCAGUUUCCAAUGCCAUGCCGGAGUUGAGCUCCGGGCUUUAACAUCAGACUUAAAUCACCGCCUACGAACUCUUUACGCCCAAUAAUUCCGGACAACGCUUGCAUCCUACGUAUUACCGCGGCUGCUGGCAC
rnacentral:rRNA from 1 species